GCUGACCUACAGGCGGUGACUGGGGUCCAGGAAUAAAGAACAGUCUCUUAAACUCACUCUUGACACACAGCCUGUGCCAGAUUCAGCCUUGGGAAGAAGUUUAGAGACAAGCCCUGCUGUAGAGGGACACGAGAAGAUGGGCACUUAGGUACAUAGUUUAAGAUUCUGUUUUUCCUUUGGCUGUAACAAAGCCUCUUACAGAUAAUUAUCCUCUUCCCAUCUAGCAUAGUGGUGCUGAGAUGGCGUUUUUAUGUUCACCCCCGUAGGUGUGACUCCGCCUGACUAAAAGACAUCUCCGUUCUCCUCAGGGCAUCAAAUAUUCUGUGUUUAAUUAAGCCUUGUUUUAAUUCUCUCAGUAAAUUUUCCUGCUGGUGGCAAGUGUUGGAUUGAAAGCCCUGGAGACCAAAGUGCCAGAUGCAAAGAAAAAGGUAGCUGCAGUCUUCACUGAUGUGCUUCAGCUCUGACUGGGAGGGGCCAUGUCUCUAGGCAUCUCCCCCAGUAAGAACCAUAUGAGGCGUCUGGAUAGUGGAGAACAAAAUCCAAGUUGUAGGAUAGCAUCAGCCACCCCGGACGUGCUGCACUUGUCGCUGGGGCUGGGCCAGAUUAAACACGACGCAUGGUAGCCUUCGGGAACCUGUGUUGAUAUCAAGGGAGUGAGGAACCCUGAGUACUUUCUCUGGAGCAAAGAGGAUUCAGAAUGAGAAGGUAAAACUCCAAACAAGAUUCUCUUAACGAAUCACAACAUUCUACACAGCAUCAUCAUAAAGUAGAGUAAGGUUCCUAUUUGGUUCUGGGUGUGAUUCAAGAUGCUGAUAUUAUUAUUGCUUUAUAUAUUCAUAAAGAGAGAGAGUCAGUGCAGAACCUGGGCUCCACUUGAGUCCUAUUUCAAUACCCAGAAUAGGAGUUAAGUGGU
rnacentral:lncRNA from 1 species